UGCCAGCCGCCGCGGUAAUACGGAGGAUGCAAGCGUUAUCCGGAUUUAUUGGGUUUAAAGGGUGCGCAGGCGGAAAAUUAAGUCAGUGGUGAAAUCCUGCAGCUUAACUGUAGAACUGCCAUUGAUACUGAUUUUCUUGAAUUCAUAUGAGGUAGGCGGAAUGUGUAAUGUAGCGGUGAAAUGCUUAGAUAUUACACAGAACACCGAUUGCGAAGGCAGCUUACUAAAUUGACAUUGACGCUGAGGCACGAAAGCGUGGGGAGCGAACAGGAUUAGAUA
rnacentral:rRNA from 1 species